rnacentral:rRNA from 1 species
CACGUAGGGGGCAAGCGUUGUCCGGAUUUAUUGGGCGUAAAGAGCUCGUAGGCGGCUCGGUAAGUCGGGUGUCAAAUCCUCAGGCUCAACCUGGGGCACCACCCGAUACUGCUGUGGCUAGAGUCCGGUAGGGGAGCGUGGAAUUCCUGGUGUAGCGGUGAAAUGCGCAGAUAUCAGGAGGAACACCAAUUGCGAAGGCAGCUCGCUGGGACGCUACUGACGCUGAGACGCGAAAGCGUGGGGAGCAAACAGG